rnacentral:rRNA from 1 species
AUGCCUGUUCGAGCGUCAUUUACCCCCUCAAGCUCUGCUUGGUGUUGGGCGCCUGUCCCGCCUCGUGCGCGGACUCGCCUAGAAGACAUUGGCAGCGGUCGUGCCAGCUUCUCGCGCAGCACUUUGCGCUUCUCGAGGCUCCGGCGGAUCAGCGUCCAGCAAGUCCACCUCCAUUUUGACCUCGGAUCAGGUAGGGAUACCCGCUGA